rnacentral:rRNA from 1 species
AACGCGAAGAACCUUACCUGGGUUUGACAUGGAUCGGGAGUGCUCAGAGAUGGGUGUGCCUCUUUUGGGGUCGGUUCACAGGUGGUGCAUGGCUGUCGUCAGCUCGUGUCGUGAGAUGUUGGGUUAAGUCCCGCAACGAGCGCAACCCUUGUUCACUGUUGCCAGCACGUUAUGGUGGGGACUCAGUGGAGACCGCCGGGGCCAACUCGGAGGAAGGUGGGGAUGACGUCAAGUCAUCAUGCCCCUUAUGUCCAGGGCUUCACGCAUGCUACAAUGGCUGGUACAGAGAGUGGCGAGCCUGUGAGGGUGAGCGAAUCUCGGUAAGCCGGUCUCAGUUCGGAUUGGGGUCUGCAACUCGACCUCAUGAAGUCGGAGUCGCUAGUAAUCGCAGAUCAGCACG